UACGUAGGGGGCAAGCGUUGUCCGGAUUUAUUGGGCGUAAAGAGCGUGUAGGCGGUUUGGUAGGUCCGCUGUGAAACGUCGAGGCUCAACCUCGAGACGCCGGUGGAAACCAUCAGACUAGAGUCCGGAAGAGGAGAGUGGAAUUCCUGGUGUAGCGGUGAAAUGCGCAGAUAUCAGGAAGAACACCCGUGGCUAAGGCGGCUCUCUAGUACGGUACUGACGCUGAGACGCGAAAGCGUGGGGGAGCGAACAGG
rnacentral:rRNA from 1 species